rnacentral:rRNA from 1 species
AGUGGCGGACGGGUGAGUAACGCGUGGGGCAACCUGCCCUGUACCGGGGGAUAACAGCCGGAAACGGCUGCUAAUACCGCAUAAGCGCACGAGAGCGCAUGCUUUUGUGUGAAAAACUCCGGUGGUACGGGAUGGGCCCGCGUCUGAUUAGCUUGUUGGCGGGGUAGAAGCCCACCAAGGCGACGAUCAGUAGCCGACCUGAGAGGGUGACCGGCCACAUUGGGACUGAGACACGGCCCAAACUCCUACGGAAGGCAGCAG